ACUGGCAGCUGGAGACUCUCCUUGCCCGUCAUCAUCUGCAUCAUCCUGGGAGCCCUGCUCUGCCUGCUCCUGGCCCUCCUGGCCAGGCAAGUGCGAAGCGCCAGGGCUGGGCGCAGAGGCUCUGAGAGAGCUCAGGAGCCCUUCCUGGAGGCCGUGUACGAGGAGAUCGAUUACAGCCCAGCGUGGGAGAAGCAGGCAAGGUUCAGCGGCCCAGGCUCCUAUUCCGAGGGGUCCCUGACCAAGCUGCAGUCCUACCCCGGGGACAGCGAGGAGGA